rnacentral:misc_RNA from 1 species
GAUGAAGAACGUAGUGAAAUGCGAUAAGUAAUGUGAAUUGCAGAAUUCAGUGAAUCAUCGAAUCUUUGAACGCACAUUGCGCCCGCCAGCAUUCUGGCGGGCAUGCCUGUUCGAGCGUCAUUUCAACCCUCGACUUCCCUUUGGGGAAAUCGGCGUUGGGGACUGGCAGCAUACCGCCGGCCCCGAAAUGGAGUGGCGGCCCGUCCGCGGCGACCUCUGCGUAGUAAUCCAACCUCGCACCGGAACCCCGACGUGGCCACGCCGUAAAACACCCCACUUUCUGAACGUUGACCUCGGAUCAGGUAGGAAUACCCGCUGAACUUAAGCAUAUCAAUAAGCGGAGGA